rnacentral:rRNA from 1 species
UACGUAGGGGGGCGAGCAUUGUCCGGAGUUACUGGGCGUAAAGGGCGUGCAGGCGGUGCAGUAAGUUUGGAGUGACAGUACCCGGCUCAACUGGGUAAGGCCUUCGAAAACUGCUGGACUCGAAGGCAGGAGAGGGAAGUGGAAUUCCCGGUGUAGUGGUGAAAUGCGUAGAUAUCGGGAGGAACACCAGUGGCGAAGGCGACUUCCUGGCCUGUUCUUGACGCGUGAG